rnacentral:rRNA from 1 species
GACGAACGCUGGCGGCGUGCCUAACACAUGCAAGUCGAGCGGGGUUGAAGCGAGAGGUAACUCGAACUUCUACCUAGCGGCGGACGGGUGAGUAACGCGUGGGCAACCUGCCUCAAGGUCUGGGAUAACAGCCCGAAAGGGCUGCUAAUACCGGGUAUGCUUGUGGCCUCGCAUGGGGCUAUGAGCAAAGGGGAAACCCGCCUUGAGAUGGGCCCGCGUCCCAUCAGCUAGUUGGUGAGGUAACAGCUCACCAAGGCGACGACGGGUAGCCGGCCUGAGAGGGUGACCGGCCACACUGGGACUGAGACACGGCCCAGACUCCUACGGGGGCAGCAGUGGGGGAUCUUGCACAAUGGGCGAAAGCCUGAUGCAGCGACGCCGCGUGAGCGAAGAAGGCCUUCGGUUGUAAAGCUCUGUCUGGAGGGACGAAGGAAGUGACGGUACUCCGGAGGAAGCCACGGCUAACUACGUG